GGGCGUACCCUGUCCUGAACAAACAUGCCGGGGAAGCGGGUCAGCUUGGAAAGUGUGAACGAGAUAACUGCAGCCAUGUUCCCCCAUAGCUGGAUAAACACUCCCCGCGAGGCUGACUGUUUUCUCAGACUGUCAGGCUUCAUCUUUGAUCCAAAGACACCGGUCCCUGAUCUACACGCAAGCUCCAUUUCCCAGGACUUCCUGUGGCUACUUUCAGAUGCUUUGCUUCAUCAUGCCGUUCUGUCCCCUCGAUAGCACUUUGAUUCCCGCUUCAGAGAAGAGAGCAGAAACUCAUUACAUAACAUGCUCCACAUCUUAGUCAUUGGCAUCCUGAGUCUAGCUGUGAGUGACUCCAGAGCUGGAAUUUUGUUCACUCCACUGAUUCUCAGAGGAGGCAACACCCAGAGAAGUGUUUUCAGCCUCUGCUGAGAAUCACGGGCAUACCAGCUUUUCAUUUCCUUCAUCACCAUUUUGUCAGUGUGACUACUCAAUAGCUCACCUGGUUUUCAGCACUGUGUGUGCCUGCGUGCUGUCUCCUAUCUCAGUGGCUCCAGUGUCACUGGGUAUUUUCCCAGCAGGUACCCAAAAAAACACUGUAUUUUAGAGAUACCAAGAACUGAAAGAUGCUGCAAAAUAUAGGAGUCAAUCAACAACACCCCAAACAGCAGAACCUGUGGCCAGUCUCCACCCCAGGGUGGAGUGAGAGGAGAUGGGGGACCAUUCUCUGUCUUCUACUGUGACUAAAGUCUAUGGGUGUGAAAGUCUGACUUCACCCAAGAUGUGUGCUCCAGGCCCUCCCCUUUAUGCAUUUGUCAGAGCGCUUACCCUUGGAAGCAUAAUUAAUUUUAACUUGAAUAUGCCGAAGAGUCCAAAUGAAAAAACAGUGGACACCCAUAGUCCUGCAACCCACAGUUAGCCACAACUGUUGACAUACUUACAUCUAGGAUUGGCCUUUACCUUAAAACAAAAUAAGCUGCCUCAUAUUCAAGUGUAUCCUUUGAAGUAAUCAUUGCAGCAUGGAAAAAGCUAAAUUGCGAUGGUCCUAUUCUCUUGUUUCGCUGGAAAGUCAAGUGAGGAGAAAGGGGGCAACCAGGCAUAUUGGUGUACGCCUGAGUCAGGAGGAUCAGAAGUUCAAGGUCAUUCCUACCUACAUAACAAGUUCAAGGGGUUUCCUGUGUCUUAACAUCCUUGAGAUGGUAUCAGCUGUCAACUUUCCAGUCAGCUUACCUGAACUUUAUCAGCCCUUAGCUCCGUGCUCCCUCUCCUCUUUUGGAGGAAUGAGAAGGGGAAGGGGCAGUCUGAAGGGGAAGAAAAACAAACCACGCCAAGAAGACCAGGCCCAAGAACUUAUCAAACACACCAGGACCAAGGAAGGGGAUAGCUGCCUCACCUGACCCCAUAAAGGUGACAUCUACCAAAUGGAUGUGGCUGCACAUGCCUCUAAUUCCAGCACUCGGGAGACAGAGGCAGGCAUAUGUGAGUUGGAAGCCAACCUGGUCUACAGGACAGCCAGGGCUACAUAGUGAGAUGCUGUCUCAAAAGAAAGGGGGUUGAGAAAAAGAAAAAGAAGGAAGAUGACAUCAACCUCUGAGAUGGAACGGCCCCACCAACCUGUCAUCUGACCACCUGGAGGUAUGCUAAGUGACUGACAGGCAAGAGCUGACUUAUCUCAGUUCUUUCCCUAUGGAUCACUUGGCUGACUUGAGUUUCCAUUCUUUCUUCUGCCUCUUUGUCUAGACUGGGUUCUGUACUCUACCUCUGCAAACUCCAUGGUAUUCCCCCCGCCCUCUAGCUUCCAAAAUUCAGCCUCAAGACUGGGUUCAAACCUGGGGCUCUGCAGCAGCACCCACAGGAGAUGUCCUCUCUUUCUUUCCGGCUGAUUUUCAGCAAGGUGCAUUAUCUCCUGCCAAUUCUCUUCGCAUCUCUUUUAUCAGUCUGCCUGCCUCCAGGACUUGAGGUGGGCCUCUCUGAACUUGAACUCUGCUGCAGCCUCACACGCUUAUAUAGACAUAUUGACGGUGUGAUAUGUAAUGUGCAAUCUGAGAGUUAAUAUUUGUAAUUAAGAUCAUAAUAAAAUAACUUAUGUUUGCUAGUAGGAAACUAUCAAGGGAAAUGGGGACUACUUAAGUCGCUGCCAAUAAAACUCACAUAGCUUGUGAAUUUGUUGUCAUUUCAUAAAUUCAGAUUUGGGAAGAC
ensembl:lncRNA